rnacentral:rRNA from 1 species
UGGGUUUGACAUGGAUCGGGAGUGCUCAGAGAUGGGUGUGCCUCUUUUGGGGUCGGUUCACAGGUGGUGCAUGGCUGUCGUCAGCUCGUGUCGUGAGAUGUUGGGUUAAGUCCCGCAACGAGCGCAACCCUUGUUCACUGUUGCCAGCACGUUAUGGUGGGGACUCAGUGGAGACCGCCGGGGUCAACUCGGAGGAAGGUGGGGAUGACGUCAAGUCAUCAUGCCCCUUAUGUCCAGGGCUUCACGCAUGCUACAAUGGCUGGUACAGAGAGUGGCGAGCCUGUGAGGGUGAGCGAAUCUCGGAAAGCCGGUCUCAGUUCGGAUUGGGGUCUGCAACUCGACCUCAUGAAGUCGGAGUCGCUAGUAAUCGCAGAUCAGCAACGCUGCGGUGAAUACGUUCCCGGGGCUU